AGAAUCAACGCUGGCGGCGUGCCUAACACAUGCAAGUCGAACGAGAAAGUGGAGCAAUCCAUGAGUAAAGUGGCGCACGGGUGAGUAACACGUGACUAACCUACCCUUGAGUGGGGGAUAACCUCGGGAAACCGGGGCUAAUACCGCAUAAUAUCGAGAGAUCAAAGGAGCAAUUCGCUUAAGGAGGGGGUCGCGGCUGAUUAGCUAGUUGGUGAGGUAAUGGCUCACCAAGGCUAUGAUCAGUAUCCGGCCUGAGAGGGCGCACGGACACACUGGAACUGAAACACGGUCCAGACUCCUACGGGAGGCAGCAGUGGGGAAUUUUGCGCAAUGGGGGAAACCCUGACGCAGCAACGCCGCGUGGAGGAUGAAGUCCCUUGGGACGUAAACUCCUUUCGAUCGGGACGAUAAUGACGGUACCGGAAGAAGAAGCCCGGCUAACUUCGCGCCAGCAGCCGC
rnacentral:rRNA from 1 species